AAAGAAACUAACAAGGAUUCCCCUAGUAACUGCGAGUGAAGAGGGAAGAGCUCAAAUUUAAAAUCUGGCAGUGUUUUGCUGUCUGAGUUGUAAUCUAGAGAAGUGCUGCCCGUGCUGGACCAUGUACAAGUCUCCUGGAAUGGAGCAUCACAGAGGGUGAGAAUCCCGUCUUUGACAUGGACUGCCAGUGCAUUUGUGGUGUGCUCUCAAAGAGUCGAGUUGUUUGGGAAUGCAGCUCUAAAUGGGUGGUAAACUCCAUCUAAAGCUAAAUAUUGGCGAGAGACCGAUAGUGAACAAGUACCGUGAGGGAAAGAUGAAAAGAACUUUGGAAAGAGAGUUAAACAGUAUGUGAAAUUGUUGAAAGGGAAACACUUAAAGUCAGUCAUGUCGGCCAGGGAUCAACCCAGUUUUUCUUUGCUGGGUGUACUUCCUGAUCUGACAGGCCAACAUCAGUUUUGACUGCUGGAGAAGGAUAGAGGGAAUGUGGCACCUCUGGGUGUGUUAUAGCUCUCUGUCAGAUGCAGUGGUGGGGACUGAGGAAGGCAGCAUGCCACAAGGCCAGGUUUAGACCAUGUUCAUGCUGAGGAUGUUGGCAUAAUGGCUUUAAUUGACCCGUCUUGAAAC
rnacentral:rRNA from 1 species